CAAUAAGAAGCCAUCUUCUUUUCUUCUCAAAAAUUAGGGUUUAGACUCCAUCUUUUUAGUAGGCCAUACUUGGGUAAUUGCUUAGUUAUUUAAUUUCCAUGGAGGCGUUGAGGCAUUCUACGUGAAGACCACCACUGGAGCUGGUGAUUCUUUUGUUGGCGCCCUUCUAACUAAGAUUGCCGAUGACCAAUCUGUUCUUGAGGAUGAAGCGAGGUUGAAGGAAGUACUAAUGUUUGCCUGUGCAUGUAGAGUCAUCACAACAACCAAGAAAGGAGUAAUCCCAACUCUGCCUACUGAAUCUGAAGCCCGCAUUUUGCUUAAGGAAGGAGCAUAGAACGAAGAAGAUGUAACCCUUUUAAUUCUUUUUAAUCGUGAUAUAUUUCUCCCCUUCACGAGUUUUUAUUUUCAAUUAACCAAUUAGGUAGUAGCAGCGUUUUAUUUUUUACUUUCGAGGUUUGAUUUAAUGGUUUCAUGCAAUGAUGAAAGACAAUGCAUUAAGGCACUUAAUAAACUAGCUUUCUUCCUA